rnacentral:rRNA from 1 species
AUUGAACGCUGGCGGCAGGCUUAACACAUGCAAGUCGAGCGGGGGAAGGUAGCUUGCUACCGGACCUAGCGGCGGACGGGUGAGAAUGCUUAGGAAUCUGCCUAUUAGUGGGGGGCAACAUCUCGAAAGGGAUGCUAAUACCGCAUACGUCCUACGGGAGAAAGCAGGGGAUCUUCGGACCUUGCGCUAAUAGAUGAGCCUAAGUCGGAUUAGCUAGUUGGCGGGGUAAAGGCCUACCAAGGCGACGAUCUGUAGCGGGUCUGAGAGGAUGAUCCGCCACACUGGGACUGAGACACGGCCCAGACUCCUACGGGAGGCAGCAGUGGGGAAUAUUGGACAAUGGGGGGAACCCUGAUCCAGCCAUGCCGCGUGUGUGAAGAAGGCCUUAUGGUUGUAAAGCACUUUAAGCGAGGAGGAGGCUACUUUAGUUAAUACCUAGAGAUAGUGGACGUUACUCGCAGAAUAAGCACCGGCUAACUCUGUGCCAGCCGCCGCCGUAA